UAACCUACCUAUAAGACUGGGAUAACUCCGGGAAACCGGGGCUAAUACCGGAUAAUAUUUUGAACCGCAUGGUUCAAUAGUGAAAGACGGUUUCGGCUGUCACUUAUAGAUGGACCCGCGCCGUAUUAGCUAGUUGGUAAGGUAACGGCUUACCAAGGCGACGAUACGUAGCCGACCUGAGAGGGUGAUCGGCCACACUGGAACUGAGACACGGUCCAGACUCCUACGGGAGGCAGCAGCA
rnacentral:rRNA from 1 species